UGAUUAUGUACAGUAUAUGAAGAAAUAUGAGGCGGCACUGCUAAUAAUGUACCAGAUCACAGGUGCGGGACGAUAAACUGUGAGACCCAGCUGAGCGCGAAACACUCAGCGUUCUACACACUGUCCGCCCCAGCCCUCUGUAACUUCUAUCUUCAUUGAAAUUAAAGAAAAAUUUUGCCGCAAAGUGGUGAGUGCCGCUAUCAUUUAU